rnacentral:sRNA from 1 species
GCUUUCAACAUCCCCGUCCAGUUCGCUGCUUGCGAGAUUGGACUGAAGGC